UACAGAGGUCCCGAGCGUUGUUCGGAUUCAUUGGGCGUAAAGGGUGCGUAGGCGGCUGGGUAAGUUUGAUGUGAAAUCCUGGGGCUCAACCCUGGAACUGCAUUGAAUACUGCUCGGCUAGAGUACUGGAGAGGAAACUGGAAUUCACGGUGUAGCAGUGAAAUGCGUAGAGAUCGGGAGGAACACCGGUGGCGAAGGCGGUUCUCUGGGCCUGUACUGACGCUGAGGAGCGAAAGCGUGGGGAGCGAACAGG
rnacentral:rRNA from 1 species